GGCAAACGGCUGGAGAGGACGCAUAUCGACGCACGAAUCGGUAGACGCAUGAAUCGAAGAUUGAAAAAUUGGAAAUAGAGAGAAAGAGAAAGAAUCUGGCACCUCCUCCGAUCACUUUUCUCUUGAUGUCUGCACACCUCGCUCAGCUGUUUUUGUUAGGAGUCUCU
ensembl:ncRNA C56G2.21 ncRNA